GACGAACGCUGGCGGCGUGCCUAAUACAUGCAAGUCGAGCGGACUUUCAAGAAGCUUGCUUUUUGAAAGUUAGCGGUGGACGGGUGAGUAACACGUGGGCAACCUGCCUGCAAGACGGGGAUAACUCCGGGAAACCGGGGCUAAUACCGGAUAAUAUCUUCCUUCGCAUGAAGGAAGGUUGAAAGGCGGCGCAGGCUGCCGCUUGCAGAUGGGCCCGCGGCGCAUUAGCUAGUUGGUGAGGUAACGGCUCACCAAGGCGACGAUGCGUAGCCGACCUGAGAGGGUGAUCGGCCACACUGGGACUGAGACACGGCCCAGACGCCUACGGGAGGCAGCAGUAGGGAAUCUUCCGCAAUGGACGAAAGUCUGACGGAGCAACGCCGCGUGAGCGAAGAAGGUCUUCGGAUCGUAAAGCUCUGUUGUCAGGGAAGAACAAGUACCGUUCGAACAGGGCGGUACCUUGACGGUACCUGACCAGAAAGCCACGGCUAACUACGUG
rnacentral:rRNA from 1 species